rnacentral:lncRNA from 1 species
AGGUUCUACCGCAUUUUGUUGUCGAAGCUUGAGGAGGAGUCUGAGUCACUGGCCUAGGCCUCUUGUUCUGCUGAACCGGUACAGAACUGGUCUGCAGUGUGAAACCGGGGGUCUUAGACUUUCCAGUACCAGAAAAAGAUACGAAGGUUCUUCUCUAAUAGCUGUGCCUUGGCCAAAACGGCUGAGUAAGUGCUGAGCUCAAACACGUACAACUAUUGUAUGAUCUCAGAAUGGUGGCCC